GUAGGUGGCAAGCGUUAUCCGGAAUUAUUGGGGCGUAAAGCGCGCGCAGGCGGUUUCUUAAGUCUGAUGUGAAAGCCCACGGGCUCAACCGUGGAGGGUCAUUGGAAACUGGGGAACUUGAGUGCAGAAGAGAAAAGCGGAAUUCCACGUGUAGCGGUGAAAUGCGUAGAGAUGUGGAGGAACACCAGUGGCGAAGGCGGCUUUUUGGUCUGUAACUGACGCUGAGGCGCGAAAGCGUGGGGAGCAAACAGGAUUAGAUACCCUGGUAGUCCACGCCGUAAACGAUGAGUGCUAAGUGUUAGAGGGUUUCCGCCCUUUAGUGCUGCAGCUAACGCAUUAAGCACUCCGCCUGGGGAGUACGGUCGCAAAGACUG
rnacentral:rRNA from 1 species